UGUGAUUAUUGUCUGAGUUACAGACGGCCGAUGGGAAAGUCCUGAAAGACUUUAAGCAAACGCGGAGCCGAGAGCAGAUCACAGCCACGUUACUGAGGUUCACUGGGGGUGAGGUGGACAUUCUGAAAGGUUACCUGGAACAGCUGAGAUCCAUCGAAGAGGCUUUGGGUCGGUCGGUCUUCUUCAAGACGCACGAGGUGAUCGGGAGUUCGCUGCUGUUUGUCCACGAGAGUCUGGGGAAGCCGGAGGUUUGGCUGAUCGACUUUGGGAAGACCACAGCCCUCCCCCAGGGCCAGACCCUGAGGCACGACAUUCCCUGGGAGGAGGGGAACCGAGAGGAUGGAUACCUCCUGGGGCUCCAUAACCUCAUGGACAUCUUCUCCCAGGCCCUGACGCAGAGGCUCACAGACACCGAGACAACCUGAGG